CAACCCUCGGAUUUACGCCCAUGCUUGUGAUUGCCUGCACUAAGUAUAUACCAUCAGCAACGUUUUUGGCGAACUCCCCGAGAAUCCAAGCCAACAGUUGUUUACAUAUUAUGGUAGCCCAGUUUGUGCUGAAUACAGUGUAAUAAGUCCUUUGUCAAUAAUAUAUUUUAAAAGCAACUAAAAAGAAACAAAUGUAAGCGCAUGUCCAAAUCUCUCAAGGGGCCAAAAACACCCUCAGACUCCAGAGGGUUAAAGUGCUUAACGAAAACAACAACAAAACAGUCUUACUAUUUAAAGACCACACGUGGAAAUAUGGUCUAAGAUUUCAUCCCGGUAUUUCAGUCUAUAUUUGUCUCCCUUUCCCCGUGGACUUGGCACAUUCCGCUGUAUCGUAACUUGUUACCUCUCCUCAGCUCACUGUGCCCUUCCUCACCCCUGGUGUGUUACUCUUCUCCGUAAAGAAGAAACGGCGAAGGGUUUGAUCCUACUUGGGAUUAUUGCGGAUAAAUCACUGUUACAGGAAAGAGGGGAGGAGCAUUGGACAAAUGAAAAUCUACAAAACCUUGACCCUGAAACAAAGCUGGAUUUGGCCCCUCACCGCUUUGCGCCUACAGCAGCUAAUAUGUUUUUAAUUCCUUUUUUAGCGGACUGUAUGAGAUAAUCUGCUUCAGUAAGUGGCACAUAUACUUGGAUCAGAUUUGCAAAUAAAAACAGAAAGGUUCUUGAUCACAA